GGCGACCGAGUUGGAGUACGAGUCCGUGCUGUGUGUGAAGCCAGACGUCAGCGUCUACCGGAUUCCGCCCCGGGCCUCCAACCGCGGUUACAGGGCCUCUGACUGGAAAUUAGACCAGCCUGAUUGGACUGGUCGCCUCCGAAUCACUUCAAAAGGGAAGACUGCCUAUAUCAAACUCGAGGAUAAAGUUUCAGGGGAGCUCUUUGCUCAGGCACCAGUAGAACAAUAUCCUGGUAUUGCUGUGGAGACAGUGACAGAUUCUAGCCGCUACUUUGUAAUCCGGAUCCAGGAUGGUACUGGUAAGAGAACUGGGAUUUUGAGUGGAACGAAGUUAGGAAAACAGGUGAAUGCACAGCCAUGAAAAGUGUUUCCGAUUGCCUUUAUCUUUCUUUGGUUUACUUCAUUUUUUCUUCCCUUUCUCUAAAGUUGCUAUAGUUGCUAAAGGAAAAGUAUUAACAUGUUAUUUGUAAUAGAUAAGCACGAGUUCAAGAUGUGGUAAUUCAUAUGUAGACUUAAAUAAAUGAAAAACACAUAUCUAACAAAUGAAUUAGCACAUUUUGCACUUUAGGAGGCCGAGGUGGGUGGAUCACCUGAGGUCAGGAGUUCCAGGCCAGCCUGACCAAUAUGAUGAAACCCCGUCGCUACUGAAAAUAAAAAAAAUUGGCCAGGCGUGGUGGCAGGUGCCUGUAAUCCCGGCUACUCGGGUGGCUGAGACAGGAGAAUCACUUGAAUUGGGGAAGUGGAGGUUGCCGAGAUCAUGCCAUUGCACUCCAGCCUGGGCAACAAGAGCGAAACUCCAUCUCAAAAAAAAAAAAAGAAUGAACACUUUUUGCCCGUUUAUUGUUCGUGGUAGUUUUUGGUGGGACUAUCUUGAAUCAUCUUACGUGUGGGGCAGUUAUUCUUACUCUUUUCUCCAUGGUCUAUAACAGAGGUUGGCAAACAGACAAAUAAUAAAUAUUUUAGGUUUUGCAGGUCAGGUGGCCUCUGUUGCAACUACUCAGUUUUGCUGUUGUAGUGUGAAAUCACUGUAGAAAAUAUGUAAACACCUUGAUACCACUAUGUUCCAUGAAACUUUUUCUACAAAACCAGGCUAUGGCAGGAUAAAGCCCAUGGGCUCUAUGUAGUUUAUCGACUCUUGGUCUAUGAGAAGAUAUUUCACAUUCAGACUUUGUCUAGUUAGGGUGACUGUUAUAUUUUCAUUGGGCAAAAUUUGCCAUAGAGCAGCAGUCCUCAACCUUUUUGGCACCAGGGACCCGUUUUGUGGAAGACAGUUUUCCACAGACCGGCAUUAGGGGAUGGUUUCAGGAUGAUUCAAGUGCAUCACAUUUGUUGUACACUUUAUUUCUAUUAUUAUUACAUUGUAAUGUAUAAUGAAAUAAUUAUACGACUCACUAUAAUGUAGAAUCAGUGGGAGCCUUGGGCUUGUUUUCCUGCAACUAGACGGGGGUGAUGGGAGACAGUGACAGAUCAUCAGGCAUCAGAUUCUCAUAGGGAGCUCAUAACCUAGAUCCCUCACAUGUGCAGUUCACAGUAGGGUUCACACCCCUCUGAGAAUCUAAUGCUGCCACUGAUCUGACAGGAGGCAGAGCUCAGGUGGUCAUGCAAGUGACGGGGAGCGGCUGUAAAUACAAUGAAGCUUUGCUCUCUCGUGUGCAACUCACCUCCUGCUGCAUGGCCUGGUUUCUAACAGGCCACAGACUGGUGCCGGGGGUUGGGGGCUCCUGCCAUAGAGGAUACUUCCUAGUCGAGUCUUCCUACAUUUUCCACAGGGCGCAGUGCUUUCAUUGGCAUUGGCUUCACAGAUCGGGGAGAUGCCUUCGACUUUAAUGUCUCCUUGCAGGAUCACUUCAAGUGGGUAAAGCAGGAAUCUGAGAUUUCCAAGGAAUCUCAAGAAAUGGAUGCUCGUCCUAAGUUGGAUCUGGGCUUCAAGGAAGGACAAACCAUCAAGUUGAGUAUCGGGAACAUUACAAACAAGAAAGGAGGUGCUUCUAAGCCCAGGACUGCAAGGGGUGGGGGUCUGAGCCUACUCCCACCCCCGCCAGGAGGCAAAGUCACUAUUCCCCCACCAUCCUCCUCAGUUGCCAUCAGCAAUCAUGUCACCCCACCACCCAUUCCGAAAUCUAACCAUGGAGGCAGUGAUGCAGAUAUCCUUUUAGAUUUGGAUUCUCCUGCUCCUGUCACGACACCAGCACCAACUCCAGUUUCUGCAAGCAAUGACUUGUGGGGAGACUUCAGCACUGCAUCCAGCUCUGUUCCAAACCAGGCACCACAGCCAUCCAACUGGGUCCAGUUCUGAAUGGCAUUGGCAGGACAUUAAGGACAGACUUGAGGAAUAAAAAUGACCUUGAGGGCACCAAUCUGUGAGGGAAGUUAGGAACCCAUUUCCUCCCCAGAACCAGAAUGACUGGAAAAUCUUUUUCAUAGCUUCUCCAUCACAUUCAAGCUGGUUUAUGUCACUCCCCUGUGUUGUUACUUGUACAGCCAAGAAAGUAUCUGUUAUCUCCUGCUUAGUACCAAGGUAGGGGACUAGUGGAUCUUAUCAUAGUUUUGGCUGACUAUGCAGGGCUUAAAAGGCCAGCGUCUGUUUGAGGGGGAAUGACCUCUAACAUCUGUAAAAUUUGUCUCAUCUUUUAAAUUCUUUAACUUAUUUCAAAAUCAUCUCAUGACCCUUGUGUGCCUCUUUGUGAAGCCCUAUUUAGCAAUUUCAGGGGAGUCAAAAACCUUGCAACUUCCUUCUCCACUAACCCAGGACUAAAAAUGGACAGGCUCACCUCAGUGUUUACAAAUUCAGAAUUUUGAUAGGGGUAGAUAUGGAGAAAGACCUAUUUCCUGGGUCUCUGCUGUGUAGUCUCCUUCAGGCUUAUUGUACUCAGUGAACAUCCAGUGCUGGGUGCAGCUCCAUCACCCUCUUGUGUGUUUACAUGUCUCUUUCUAUGAUAAGAGGGUUGUGUUGGUGGCACCUCCACUACUCUUUUCUGUUUGUUGAGUGAAUUGUGUAACAUCUUUGAUCAGUGGGUGUCUCUGUAAUGAAGGAGGUUCAAGAGGCUGUGCUUUCCAAGUGAUAGUCUAUAGGAGUGUUUAAUUUCUUGCAGCUCCAUCUGGUUGCUGCAUUUGAAGCAUGGCAUUAAUUUGUAUUUGCCCUGUUCUUUGACCUAAAGUUGAAGGGUUUAGAGUUUUUAACCUGAUCUGUAGAGCAGAGAGGUUGAAAGCACUUAACUCUUGUUUAGUAUCCUCAUUGCCUUGCUGCCUGGGUAUCUGGCCCCUUUCCAUAAACAUUUCUUUUCAGUUCAUGUAGUUCUUUAAUAGAAAGCUGCUGUUAUGUAUAUUGUCAUUUGUGAAGGAAGUUGGAGAGUCACAGCUUUACUGUGACAGGUUUUGCCCAAGGCUUUGAUACCUGUCACCCAGGGUAUCUUAAAAGCAAGUUGUUCUCCCACUACUUUCCUUUCCCUCUGCCCUGCCAUUCCUUUUACAAUGCUGUGAAAAAAGUUCUGCUUCUUAGGUGAAUGGGGUACUUUCUAUUUUGUUUCUAAACGAGCAAUUUUGAGGAUGAAAUGGGAAGAUAUCAUUGCUUCCUUUUUGCACCUAUUGGGUAUGUACACUCUGGCCGAAGGGAGUCCUUAUGUUUAGUUUCAAAAUAUAUUACUUUCCUGGAUUCUCUUCUUCACUUUUUCUGACUUUGGGUCCAUUUUCUUUUCAUUGCCUCCUUUUCCAGGCAGCUCUAUUCUUGCAGAGCCAUAGCAGGACAUAUUAAAAUUCCAAUAGAAAACACUAAAAGGAAAGUCUGUGGAAUCACUAGUGACUAAAUACUGGGAACCUAUUUUCUCAAUCUUCCUCCAUGUUGUGUUCUUUGUAUUCUCGAGAUGAUAAUAUAUUAUGUAUUUGAAUUCCUGAAAAAUGGAAAAUGUUUAAGAUAUAUGUAUAUAAAGCAUAUGCUGUAUU
rnacentral:sRNA from 1 species